CAAUCGGCAAUAAAAAGGACCAGUAAACUUAAUGAAUCAUCUUCAGUGAAUUAGGAAUAGUGUAAACCUAAUGGUGACUUAAGUUGAAUAACACCUUUUUGCUUCGAACUGAAAUUUAUUAAAGUAAGUUUAGACGUUACCAAUCCGUUAUCAUUGGAAAGUAUGUUUGUACUUUUUGAGUUGACUUCAUUUUGAAGUAAUCUGGGUGGUAUCGCGGAAAGACUUUUCGUCCCUAAU
rnacentral:ncRNA from 1 species